rnacentral:misc_RNA from 1 species
CCUAGAGUUGUAGGCUUUGCCUGCUAUCUCUUACCCAUGUCUUUUGAGUACCUUCGUUUACCUCGGCGGAGUCCGCCCGCCGAUUGGACAAUUUAAACCAUUUGCAGUUGCAAUCAGCGUCUGAAAAAACUUAAUAGUUA